GAUGUAGAGAAUGGAAUGAUUGACAGCAAUAUAGACAUACAGAUGACCCAACAUGGAAAAUAAUAUAUUGUAAAAGUCAUUCAGUUGUGGGGAGAUGUGCAGAGAGGAUUUUAUUUGGACUUGUUAUAAAUAAGCAAGAUUGUGUCGACAAUCUAGAGAGCCUCUGAAGUGUAACUACCCUUUCAGCAUUUCAGAAGACCAUGUAAGUUAUUAAACUACUUCAUAUUUAUUUUUUAAUUUUUGUAGAACAUUGAAAAAG
rnacentral:lncRNA from 1 species